CUCCACCAAUUGGGUUGGGAUAGAGAGGAAAUGUCGGAUAAUCAUUCUUGGUAUUGUUUGAAGGUUAAUUUGGAUGUCUUAAUGUGCUGCAAAAAGAAUGAUAACACUCCGCACGCUUUGUCAGUAAGAACUUAGUGCCUUCAUAAAGAACAAAUCGGACUUGUAGGUGAGGAAUAAUAUCAGCUUGAUUCUGUCUGGCAUCGCUCCAUUUGAUCCUGCUGAAUACUUCUUUCCUGUUUCAUCAGCUUGCCUUCCCUCCUGGUUUCAUCCUUCAGAGGCCCGCAGGCUCCGCUUUGAAGUGUCACACGUGAUGGGAACCUUUUGGGGGAACCGCUUCACUGAUGCAGUGAUGAGAUGGUGACCUGUCCAGGGUGUAAACCGCCUCCCGCCCGAAUGCAGCUGAGAUAAACUCCAGCACCACCCGCGACCCCGUAAGGGACAAGCGGUAGGAAAUGGAUGGAUGGAUGGAUGUUUAUUUAUACAAAUUCUUGAUUUAUUUGUAUGUCACAUUUUUAUAUUCAUCAAUUUUGUUUGUAUAUAUUUUCAAAUCUCAAAAAUAUAUUUACAAAUUCACGUUUAUUUAUACAAAUUAUGUAUUCAUAUGUAUAUCAAAUUUGUAUUUGUAUAUGUAUUAGUAUAUGCAUAUGUAUUAAUAUCAUGUCUAUAUAUAUCAAUCAAUCAAUCAAUGUUUACUUAUAUAGCCCUAAAUCACUAGUGUCUCAAAGGGCUGCACAAACCACUACGACAUCCUCGGUAGGCCCACAUAAGGGCAAGGAAAAAUUCACACCCAGUGGGACGUCGGUGACAAUGAUGACUAUGAGAACCUUGGAGAGGAGGAAAGCAAUGAUGUCGGGCGGGUCUAACAUGAUACUGUGAAAGUUCAAUCCAUAAUGGAUCCAACACAGUUGCAAGAGUCCAGUCCAAAGCAGAUCCAACACAGCAGCGAGAGUCCCGUUCACAGCGGAGCCAGCAGGAAAACAUCCCAAGCGGAGGCGGAUCAGCAGCGCAGAGAUGGCGGAGCAGUACAUGGCCACCGGAUCGGACCGGACCCCCUCCACAAGGGAGAGUGGGACAUAGGAGAAAAAGAAAAGAAACGGCAGAUCAACUGGUCUAAAAAGGGAGUCUAUUUAAAGGCUAGAGUAUACAAAUGAGUUUUAAGGUGAGACUUAAAUGCUUCUACUGAGGUGGCAUCUCGAACUGUUACCGGGAGGGCAUUCCAGAGUACUGGAGCCCGAAAUGAAAACGCUCUAUAGCCCACAGACUUUUUGGGGGCUUUGGGAAUCACUAAUAAGCCGGAGUCCUUUGAACGCAGAUUUCUUGCCGGGACAUAUGGUGCAAUACAAUCGGCAAGAUAGGAUGGAGCUAGACCGUGUAGUAUUUUAUACGUAAGUAGUAAAACCUUAAAGUCACAUCUUAAGUGCACAGGAAGCCAGUGCAGGUGAGCCAGUACAGGCAUACAUAUAUAUAAGUUGAUGAGGGACAAUUCUACUUCCAUGCACAUUUACUCUAGGAGCUGAAAAAUUAAAAGCAGAUAUUAUUUUUCGUUUUACUGUCGACAGGGAAGUUUGAGACGCUCCCUGACAUCCAGCAAAGCAAAUCCGCCUUUUGUUCUGGUCGUGGAUCUGGCCGUGGUGCUGAAAUGUUUCAACCUCGUACCCCCGUCAUGAUGUACGACUAAUGAGUGAUGGAUUCAUUCGAUCUUUUUGUGUACAAAAACACAAAUAUUCCAUCGGACUUGUCAAAAUGCAUUACGUCUGCAUGUAAACAAAGAUGCCACAUGCAAGAGGCCGCCGCCGCACAUGCGCACUAGACACGAUUUGGCAUUGGACCCACUGGGUUUAAAACCCGAACCAGGUCCAAGGCACAGCUCUGUCGGAUCCAUGGGUGAUCCUUUAUUUGUCACCGGGGAACAGCUGCUCUUUAACAUUAAGACCGCCAUCUGCCAGCCGUCCCUAAAUCCCCAUAAGCCUAUAGGCGAGGUAAACACUGGACGCGGGCGAUACUGCAUAUUUUGGUAUUGAUUCGAUACCAAGCACACAGUCAAGUCGAUACGGAUACUGAUGCCGAUACGUUUUUGGGAGUGGUAGUAAUUUGUCGAUCAAAUCAAAUAUUUUUGGACUGGACUUAUAAAUAGAAUUGUCAACAAUAUAACCAUAAGACAAUAUAAAUGAUGCAGGUAUCCCUAUUGAUAAUUGUUUAAUUACUUAUUAAUUAGUGAAGUGAAAGUGAAGUGAAACAUAUUUAUAUAGCGCUUUUCUCUAGUGACUCAAAGCGCUUUACAUAGUGAAACCCAAUAUCUAAGUUACAUUUAAACCAGUGUGGGUGGCACUGGGAGCAGGUGGGUAAAGUGUCUUGCCCAAGGACACAACGGCAGUGACUAGGAUGGCGGAAGUGGGAAUCGAACCUGCAACCCUCAAGUUGCUGGCACGGACGCUCUACCAACCGAGCUAUGCCGCCCCAUAUUAUUCAGCUUUUUGCCCUACAACGCGCAGCAACAUGCAAAAUGGACUGCUUACCUCACUAGUCGAACCAUGUGAUUCAGUCAAAGAAAUGAUACUGAAUGUUAUUGAUUACACAUCAUGAAUGUCUUAUUCAGAAUGUAUGAACGUAAGACUUGAUGUGAUAAGUUACUGUAUUGUUAAAAAUUUGCUAAUUUUAUUGCCCAGUACUUAUAACGGAUCCGGGGGGUCCAUUUGUGGCUAUUUUACAGACAAAAUAGACACAUCCGGGAUUCGAAAAUUACACAAAAAACUAAGAAAACACAAAAUACCUCCUAAAAAAAAGGACCUGCAAAACAACAGACAUAAUGGCCGAUGACUUGUGCAUCUUACUGGAUAUGAUAUUUGAUGAGUUUUGUGUACAAAUGUCUUGCAAGGUUUUCUGGAAGUGGGCUAAAUCCCUUAAAAAGGGUUUUGGUUGGCGGAAUAUUAAAGUUAGUAAAUAAGAAGAAGAAAAUAAUAAAUGUCACAUGGGGGUUGGAUUGGAAAUACACUAAUUUCCUUUGUUUCCAACAGUGUAACACAAAGCUAAGAUGUUAAUGUUUUGUUCAGAUAAUUGAGCAUAUAUGUCAGGGGUCGGGAACCUUUUUGGCCGAGAGAGCCAUGAAAGCUGAAUAUUUUAAAAUGUAUUUCCGUGAGCGCCAUAUCAUAUUUUUUAACACUGAAUACUACUAAAUGCAUGUUUUUUUUAAGUAAAACCAACAUUUUUAGAGUAUAUUAAGUCUAAUUAUUUUUAAUAACAUUGUUAUUUCUUGAACAGGUGCGAUAGAAAAGGGAUGGAUGGAUUAAAAUGCAUGAGAAUGUUUUAUAUUUUGAACGUUAUUUUUAACAUUGUGAUUACCAGCGGAAUUAUUCAUUACUUAUCGCGUUAAGCAAUGUCAGCUAUGAUUUACAUAUCUGAGAGCCAGAUGCAGUCAUCAAAAGAACCACAUCUGGCUCUAGAGCCAUAGGUUCCCUACCCCUGAUAUAUGUUGAUAACCUCCAAUGUGUUGGUUGUAGUGUUUUUAAUGUAUUAAAAUAGCUGCCGCAUCAUUCGGUAUUUCCCUUGUUUUUAUUGUGCAAUUGCACACACACACACACACACACACACACACACACACACACACACACACACACACACACACACACACACACACACACACACACACACGCACACACAGUACAUA